rnacentral:rRNA from 1 species
AGUGAACGCUGGCGGCAGGCCUAAUACAUGCAAGUCGAACGGCAGCACAGCAGAGCUUGCUCUGUGGGUGGCGAGUGGCGGACGGGUGAGGAAUACAUGGGAAUCUGCCCAGUCGUGGGGGAUAACGUAUGGAAACGUACGCUAAUACCGCAUGCGCCCUACGGGGGAAAGUCGGGGACCGCAAGGCCUGGCGCGAUUGGAUGAGCCCAUGUUCGAUUAGCUAGUUGGCGGGGUAAAGGCCCACCAAGGCGACGAUCGAUAGCUGGUCUGAGAGGAUGAUCAGCCACACUGGAACUGAGACACGGUCCAGACUCCUACGGGAGGCAGCAGUAGGGAAUAUUGGACAAUGGGGGCAACCCUGAUCCAGCCAUGCCGCGUGAGUGAAGAAGGCCCUCGGGUUGUAAAGCUCUUUUGUCCGGAAGAAAAGCAAUCGGUUAAUACCCGGUUGUUCUGACGGUCCGGAAGAUAAGCACCGGCUAACUUCGUGCCAGC